AGAGUUGAUUCUGGCUCAGGACGAACGCUGGCGGCGUGCUUAACACAUGCAAGUUGAACGGUAUGACAUGGAAGCUUGCUGAAGUGUCAUAUAGUAGCGGACGGGUGAGUAAUGCAUGAGAAGCUGCCAUUGGGAGGGGGACAACAGUUGGAAACGGCUGCUAAUACCCCGUAUGCCGGAGGGUGAAAGGGAGUAAUCCGCCCGAUGAGGUGCUCAUGUCCUAUCAGCUGGUUGGUGGGGUAACGGCCUACCAAGGCGACGACGGGUAGCCGGCCUGAGAGGGUGAACGGCCACACUGGAACUGAGAUACCGGUCCAGACUCCUACGGGAGGCAGCAGGUGGGGAAUUAAGUUGGGCAAGUGGGGGCCAACCCUCGACCCAGCGACGCCGCGGUGGGGGAAGACGGCCGUUCGGGUUAGUAAACCUUCUUUUGUACGGGAAGAAGGAAGUGACGGUACUGUACGAAUAACGUCCCGGCUAACUACGUGCCAGCCGCGGC
rnacentral:rRNA from 1 species